rnacentral:lncRNA from 1 species
CUUGCUAGUGAGAUGGAGUUGCACAAUCAUCAGCCUCACUCUUCCAGAGUCAUCAAAGUUCAGUACCAAGACAAAAUUCAGAAUGACCUCAAUGUAGUGAGGUCCAAUGACCACACAAUGAGGCCAGUGACCAGGAUGUAGUGGAUGACCCUGGCAUUUUCAAUGCCUGCCAAGCUCUAAGUACUCCACAAUGUUUGCUUCAGUCAUCUUCAUGACUGUUGGAACAAACUGUUCUCAUCUGCCCAUUUCACAGUGGGGAAGUCUUCGCAUGCUGGGGGUAGACAUCUCUGUUACUCACCAAUUGGUUUGAGAUCUGUUGUCCAUAAUCAACCUGGUUUAGAUGGUUUUAACAAAAUGGAGCUGCCAUUCAUUCUAUCACUUCUCAGAGCCACAGACCUUCUGAAAUCUCUCCAUAUUAAGAGUCCCUGCUGGAAGGUACUGGAUCAAUACCAUCCCUUGCCAGUGCCAAGGGUAACAUGA